rnacentral:rRNA from 1 species
GACGAACGCUGGCGGCGUGCUUAACACAUGCAAGUCGAGCGGUAAGGCCCUUUCGGGGGUACACGAGCGGCGAACGGGUGAGUAACACGUGGGUGACCUGCCCUCAGCUCUGGGAUAAGCCUGGGAAACCGGGUCUAAUACCGGAUAUGACUCCAUGACGCAUGUUGUGGGGUGGAAAGCCUUGUGCGGCUGAGGAUGGGCCCGCGGCCUAUCAGCUUGUUGGUGGGGGAUGGCCUACCAAGGCGACGACGGGUAGCCGGCCUGAGAGGGCGACCGGCCACACUGGGACUGAGACACGGCCCAGACUCCUACGGGAGGCAGCAGUGGGGAAUCUUGCGCAAUGGGCGAAAAGCCUGACGCAGCGACGCCGCGUGAGGGAUGACGGCCUC